UUUAGGUUUCCUCCUGUAGUAACACUGGAUCAAUAAGACAUGAUCCUUACUGGACCUCUAGGGAGAACAGUUUAGAACUGAUAGAGCUAUCCAGUAUAAAUAAAGUUAGUUUAGUUUUAGGUUUCCUCCUGUAGUAACACUGGAUCAAUAAGAGAUGAUCUUUACUGGACCUCUAGGGAGAACAGUUUAGAACUGAUAGAGCUAUCCAGUAUAAAUAAAGUUAGUUUAGUUUUAGGUUUCCUCCUGUAGUAACACUGGAUCAAUAAGAGAUGAUCCUUACUGGACCUCUAGGGAGAACAGUUUAGAACUGAUAGAGCUAUCCAGUAUAAAUAAAGUUAGUUUAGUUUUAGGUUUCCUCCUGUAGUAACACUGGAUCAAUAAGAG